rnacentral:rRNA from 1 species
AUGAACUAGAACGCUUUGGAAAGAGCGGCCAUAGACGGUGAUAGCCCGGUAUAGGUAAAGAUCAUAAACCAUAGUGGUAUCCUGAGUAGUGCGGGGCACGAGAAACCCUGUAUGAAUUUGGCGGGACCAUCCGCUAAGGCUAAAUACUCCUGAGAGACCGAUAGUGAACCAGUACCGUGAGGGAAAGGUGAAAAGAACCGUGAAUAACGGAGUGAAAUAGAUCCUGAAACCAUACGCUUACAAGCGGUCGGAGCCCUUUAGGGGGUGACGGCGUGCCUUUUGCAUAAUGAGCCUACGAGUUAACGUUGCCAGCGAGGUUAAGGGGUUAAGCCCUGGAGCCGUAGCGAAAGCGAGUCUGAAUAGGGCGCUUUAGUUGGUAGUGUUAGACGCGAAACCGUGUGAUCUACCCUUGGGCAGGUUGAAGCUGUGGUAACACAUAGUGGAGGACCGAACCCGUUGACGUUGAAAAGUCUUGGGAUGACCUGAGGGUAGGGGUGAAAGGCCAAUCAAACUCGGAAAUAGCUCGUACUCCCCGAAAUGCAUUUAGGUGCAGCGAUUUAUUAGUUUUAUAGAGGUAGAGCUACUGAUUGGAUGCGGGGGCUUCACCGCCUACCAAUUCCUGACAAACUCCGAAUGCUAUAAAAUGAUGUAGAUCAGUGAGGGCAUGGGUGCUAAGGUCCAUGUCCGAGAGGGAAAGAACCCAGACCAUCAGCUAAGGUCCCCAAAUGUAUGUUAAGUUGAAAAAACGCGGUUGAACUGCUUAGACAGCUAGGAUGUUGGCUUGGAAGCAGCCAUUCAUUUAAAGAGUGCGUAACAGCUCACUAGUCGAGCGGUUCGGCAUGGAUAAUAAUCGGGCAUAAACAUACUACCGAAGCUAUGGAUUU